CCUACGGGAGGCAGCAGUGAGGAAUAUUGGUCAAUGGGCGCGAGCCUGAACCAGCCAAGUCGCGUGAGGGAUGAAGGUUCUAUGGAUCGUAAACCUCUUUUAUAAGGGAAUAAAGUGUGGGACGUGUCGUAUUUUGUAUGUACCUUAUGAAUAAGGAUCGGCUAACUCCGUGCCAGCAGCCGCGGUAAUACGGAGGAUCCGAGCGUUAUCCGGAUUUAUUGGGUUUAAAGGGUGCGUAGGUGGCUUUUUAAGUCAGCGGUGAAAGUCUGUGGCUCAACCGUAGAAUUGCCGUUGAAACUGGGAGUCUUGAGUAUAUUAGAGGCAGGCGGAAUGCGUGGUGUAGCGGUGAAAUGCUUAGAUAUCACGCAGAACCCCGAUUGCGAAGGCAGCCCACCAGGCCAUGACUGACGCUGAUGCACGAAAGCGUGGGGAUCAAACAGGAUUAGAUACCCCGGUAGUC
rnacentral:rRNA from 1 species